rnacentral:misc_RNA from 1 species
GAUGAAGAACGUAGUGAAAUGCGAUACUUGGUGUGAAUUGCAGAAUCCCGUGAACCAUCGAGUCUUUGAACGCAAGUUGCGCCCGAAGCCACUAGGCCGAGGGCACACCUGCCUGGGCGUCACACGCCGUUGCCCCCCCAUCUACUCCUUCGGGAUUGCGGGGGGGCGGAUGAUGGCCUCCUGUGCGCCUAGCCGCGCGGUUGGCAUAAAUACCAAGUCCUCGGCGACGCACGCCACGACAAUCGGUGGUUGCGAAACCUCGGUUGCCCGUCGUGUGCGUUCGUCGCGCAUCGAGGGCUCGAAAAAAUGCUCGGCUCCGGCUGGGCUUUCAACGCGACCCCAGGUCAGGCGGGGUUACCCGCUGAAUUUAAGCAUAUCAAUAAGCGGAGGA